ACUAGAAGUUGGUCCGCGGUGUCCCGGGAGCCUGGGAGCCGCCUCAGCCCGCCCGGAGGGAAGGAGGGAAACACCGUCGGAGCCGACCGCGGCCUGGAGAGGGCCGGAGAGCCGGAGGCCAGGGGCCCGCGACGAGUAGGGGUGGAGGGGAGGAAAGCGGGGAGAUCGCGCGAGGAGGAAGCAGCCGAACCUCGGGCGGGCGCUGCGCAUGGAGAACGGCCGCGGCGGAGGGUGCUCCCAGGCGCGGAGAGAAGCCGAGGGCGCCAGCGGGCGAGCGCGAGUCCGGGGUCUGCGCCGCGCUGCUGGUGAAUAAAAAGGAGAGAGGAGGCGCCUCUUACUGCUCUGCCGGAAAACUGCAGCCUGGGCUCCUGAUUGGACUCACCGAGCCCUAAACAAACAGCGCUCGCCGAAGGGUGCCAGGCUGUGGGUCGGAACUGCGCUCAGCGAGCAGCUGGGCGCUGGAGAAAGGAUUUCUUCCGACAGACGUGACCCCAGAAGGCUGCCGAGGGAGACUUUAGGACAAGAGGCGUUGUUUUUUUAGGGAAGGAAGAGGAGCCUGUGCAGAGUUGAACUGGGGUGGAGAGGUGCCUUGUAAAGUAUGGUUUCCAGAGAUGGUGAGACCUCGUAGCUAAGCGUUGUUUCCUCUGCACGUAACUGUGAGUUGUGAACUUGUGGCUCCUGGGGGAGCGGGACAGGGCCUGGCAGUGCGGGGGAGGGGGCAAGGAAUUCAGGAAGUUGGCGAGAAUUCUUCGUUUUUCAUUCUUCGUUGUAAAUUGCUUCUAAACACUUCUGAAUUUUAAAUUGCUACCGAGAAGGUCCAGAAACCGUUCUCAUCCAAUUUAGUCACUUUUAUUACGUUCCACUUUGCCUCCCCCAAUCACUGCGGCGGCUCCCAGUUUCAGCGUGGCCGCAUUUGGAAAAGGCUGAAGGUAGAAAACUCUGGAAUGGAGAGGCUGGCGACUGGAGCAGGAUCCAGGGGCUUUAAAUUUUAACCUGAAUGCGAUCGAAUGCGCGACUCCCAGAAGAGAUAGCCAGGCGUCCGCCCGGCCGCUCAACCCCCGCCAGGACUCGGAAUGCCUUGCUUUUGGUUCUUUUCUACAAGGAUGUCUGCGUGGAUAUCCCUGGACACUCGAUACCCCCCGGGGACCUGCUUUUCCCGCAGCUCCGCAGACGCGGCGGGAGGGCGCGCUGGCCCCGGCGCUGCUGGGACAGAGGUGAGCAGCGGGGUGGACAUUGACCGAUUCGACAACGUUCGGGCUCUAAGGGCUCGGGAAGGGACCCGGCAUUUUACCCUCCAGAUUCCCAAUCUAUUUUUAAAAAUAAUGUUCAAAACAUAUGGGAAAAAUAAGUGAUUGCUCCUUUUCAUGGUCACAGAUUGUAUUUAUUUUUUCAGACUGGUUUUCCAACCUAACGAGGGAAUGGGUAGUGAAUGUUGUUGUUGUUGUUGUUGUUUAUGUUGGUUAAUUUCGAAAUAAAACUGUUUAACUCGUACAGUUGAUUCAGACAGAAAACCA
rnacentral:lncRNA from 10 species